GAGAGUCCCCAGGUGAGCGGCUGCUCCAAGGCAGGGACAAGGUGGGCAGGUGGGCAGGGGGCUGGCGCUGCCUGUCUGCUCCUGGGUGGGCACCCACCUCAGGGAUCUAGCCUUGCAACACUUUGAUUGUCAUUGCUCAGUGACAGAAGGGAAAUGGCAAGCAAGAAGAAAGAAGUCCCACUCCAGG